UAUGUGUUUGGACAAGGUCUCUUUGGAUGCUUCCUCUUAAAGGUAGUGAUCCCUUUGGACAACUAAGGAAUCAUUGAUCUAGGAGUAAAAAAGGAGCUGUUGCCUGCAUCGCAGCCACCGAGCAUGGAGAGAUUCCCCUGUGGAUACUUACCCAACAGAACUCAAGUAUUGGUUGCAGCCUGAGCCCUGGGCAAAGAUCAGCUGUGAGAUCGCAGAGUUUCUUUAUUAAAGAACAAAUCAUGCUGGACAAACUUGAUUGCUUUUUGGAUCAGCUUGUGAAAUGAGGAGGGCUUAGCGAACGUAGCCGAUCACAGUAUCUGGGGUGUUUAGUGAGUUAUUUAAUAAAGCACUCUGGAAAUUGUA